UAAGCUAUAUAGAAAGUUAACUGAGGCAA
rnacentral:piRNA from 1 species